rnacentral:rRNA from 1 species
UAUUAGUUUUCGGACUAAGAGACCGGCGCACGGGUGCGUAACGCGUAUGCAAUCUACCUUUUACAGAGGGAUAGCCCAGAGAAAUUUGGAUUAAUACCUCAUAGUAUAGCAGUUUCGCAUGAAACCACUAUUAAAGUCACAACGGUAAAAGAUGAGCAUGCGUCCCAUUAGCUAGUUGGUAAGGUAACGGCUUACCAAGGCUACGAUGGGUAGGGGUCCUGAGAGGGAGAUCCCCCACACUGGUACUGAGACACGGACCAGACUCCUACGGGAGGCAGCAGUGAGGAAUAUUGGACAAUGGGCGCAAGCCUGAUCCAGCCAUGCCGCGUGCAGGAUGACGGUCCUAUGGAUUGUAAACUGCUUUUGUACGAGAAGAAACACUCCUAUGUAUAGGAGCUUGACGGUAUCGUAAGAAUAAGGAUCGGCUAACUCCGUGCCAGCAGCCGCGGUAAUACGGAGGAUCCAAGCGUUAUCCGGAAUCAUUGGGUUUAAAGGGUCCGUAGGCGGUUUAGUAAGUCAGUGGUGAAAGCCCAUCGCUCAACGGUGGAACGGCCAUUGAUACUGCUGAACUCGAAUUAUUAGGAAGUAACUAGAAUAUGUAGUGUAGCGGUGAAAUGCUUAGAGAUUACAUGGAAUACCAAUUGCGAAGGCAGGUUACUACUAAUUGAUUGACGCUGAUGGACGA